CUCAGAGCGAACGUUAGCGGCGGGCCUAACACAUGCAAGUCGAACGCGAAAGGUCUUCGGACUGAGUAGAGUGGCGCACGGGUGAGUAACACGUAGGUAAUCUACCCUUUGGCGGGGGAUAACGUUCCGAAAGGAGCGCUAAUACCGCAUAAGACCACGGAGUCUCCGGACGCUGUGGGAAAAGGUGGCCUCUUCUUGAAAGCUACCACCGAAGGAUGAGCCUGCGUCCCAUCAGCUAGUUGGUAAGGUAAUGGCUUACCAAGGCGAAGACGGGUAGCUGGUUUGAGAGAAUGAUCAGCCACACUGGCACUGGAACACGGGCCAGACUCCUACGGGAGGCAGCAGUGAGGAAUAUUGGGCAAUGGGCGAAAGCCUGACCCAGCCACGCCGCGUGAGUGAUGAAGGCCCUCGGGUCGUAAAGCUCUGUGGAGAGGGACGAAAACCCUGGUUUCAAAUAGGCUCCAGGCUUGACGGUACCUCUUUAGCAAGCACCGGCUAACUCUGUG
rnacentral:rRNA from 1 species